AUGCAGAGCUCCAAGUCACAAACGUGAGAUCAUGAUCUGAGCUGAAGUCAGAUGCUCAACCAACUGAGCCACCGGGGGGCCCCAAGAUUUACCUGCCUUUCUAAUACCCUUAGCAGUAGCCUGAUGUCUCAGUGAACAUUUGUGCAAUUAUUGCUUGGGGAAUUGGCUGUGUGUGUGUGUGUGUGUGUGUGUGUAUGACCCCUAGUGACCUCUGCUUCAUCCUCUCAUUCCAGAAGCCAGCAGCUCUGCAGAAGGACUUUGCAUACAAAUGCCGUCAGAGUCACCCAAGCUGUGCCACCGCAGGGCACAUGGGCAUCUGCACACUGGAAGACAGGAAACUGAUACCUUCCUUUCGUGGGCUUGUCUAGUUAAUGGAGGUGAUGGUGAUGGUGAUGGUGGAUGUGGAAGCCGUGGAGAUGCGGCAAUCAAGAGCACGGAGUCUCGAACUUGCGUGCAUUAGAGUCACCUGGAGGGCUUGGUCAAACACAGAUCGCUGGGUCCCGCGUUAGUAGGUCUGGGGUGGGCCUGAGAACCUGCAUUUCUAACAAGGGUCCAGGUGAUGCUGAUGUUGUUGGCCACGACCACACUUCGAGAACCACAAGGCAAUCAGAACAGUGGUUCUCAAGUCUAGGGCUACAUGAGAAUCCCCAGGGAGCCUUCCAGAUGAUUCCACUGUACAUCCAGAGUUACGACCUGUACAUGACAUCAAACAAGACGAAUGGAAAAUUUAAGGGGCAGAGAUAGGGGCCUGGAGAGAACCUUGCACCUAGGGAGUAUAGACUGAAAUUCCUGUAUGUCAAAGAGUCCACCGUGAUGGGUACUGACUGCCAAAUAGCGAAAGAAGCCCCCCCCCCCCCAUGUAUCUGUGGGGGCUCAGGUGUUGAGAGUAAGGAAAUCGUUCAGUGAGGUAGUUUCCAAAUAGGUGCUGGGCACAUGCAGCUGUGGGGGACGCCACCAGUGAAAACACUUCGGCCUAAGUGGGAAGAUCUGCGCCGGCCGCAGUUACCGCUGAACGUGGUAAAGAGAGAGCUCUGGUCGGGCCCAGGUCACUCUGCCCGGACUUUGCUAACGCAGACAGAGCUCUCGCUCGGAGACCAGAAGGAUUGGCCCGAAGUCUCCGCACAGGCCUGUAUUCUGGCUGCUGUCUGAAAAGGUAGCAACUUUGGUACCGAUAGGUACACCUGGAAACUGCUAUACAGACCUCUGAAUCAACAAGUAAUCAACACGUUUUAAGAGAGGCAAUGACAAGAGUGCUGAGUAGAUGACCAGGAAGAGUUUUUUCACUGCUUUUAUGGAGGAGUGAAUUUUUGAAGGUCCUCACUCUACUAUUUUCACAGUCUUCCUGCUCCCGACUUUGAUUUUUGGAAUUACAAAAACAGCAGAUAAUAAGCCCUUACUACCUUAUUCCAGUCAUUGAAAGCUAUUCUCAAACCUCCCCUGCUUUGGAAGCCAGCCUUGAACAGUUAAUAAAACUAUGAUCCUCAGUUUACAGAUGAAAAGAGAAAGAGAGCAUUUCCUCACCCAUACUAAUGAUGUAUAAUGGACAACCCUAUGAUCUUAAGGGAAAACCAAGGAAUCCUGCCAUCAUGAGGACAAGUCAGGAGGACAGGACACCACGUACGAGCCAAGCUGCCCUGAUGAGACCACUUUUGACUCAUUCAUUCACUGUAGUCUUCUGAGUGAGUCCAGCCAAGACCAGAAGAACCACCUAGAUCUAUGAACCACACAGGACUGUGAGGAAUAACAAACGCUUUUAUUACUGCUUUAAGCAUUAAAUUUAAGGCUCGUUUGUUAUGCAGCAAUAGCCGAUACACCUGUUCUCAAACUCUUUACCACAAUUCUGGCUCUUUGCUGUAACGGAAAUGAUGUCCAUUCCUUUCUUCUGAGCAAUUUAGACCUUUUAGUCACUCUGUCUUCCUAGAUAAUACAUGUAAACACUUAUCUUGACAUUUUUCCUGUUUCCUUUUCCUGCCAUGUAAGAGUGAAAUGCCUCCUUUCUGUGACUGUUUCUUCACUCUCCCCCUGCUCCCACAGCCCCUCUGCUCCCCACCCCCACACCCUGCUCAGCAGCAUCGCUCUUCUAGGAUACAAAUAUGGACAAUCUUCUCACAUCUCAAAACCCCCCAAACCUUUCCUUAAUCUACUGUCUUUUCAAGCUUUUGGCAGUUUCUCAAUAUUUUCUUCUAACUGGAUUUUACUCUCCUGGACUCCUGGAAUCAUCCAUAGCUUCCAUAGUGCACAGGUUUAAAUUCUUGUUUUAGAAUUACAGUUUAAAGUUUUAAAAUGGUUUUUAAAAGUCAUUUCUCUCUUCUAUUGCAGCUUGACACUGUUGCCAGAUACUGCCUCCUUGAAAAUUCCCCCUCCUGGUUUUCCUUUUUUCUCUCUACUUCUCUUUGUCCCUAAGUACUUUCUUUUCCCGACUACCUCGCAAUUUGACUAUUCUUCAUUGCUGUGCACUCUUGACCUCUUCUACAGGCUGCAUGCCCUAUCACAUCCACUCUGUGGCUUGAAAGCUAACAUCCAGGCAGAUUGUAUGUGCACGUGUGUGCAUGUGUAUACACAAACAUAGAUGCAUAUCCAUAACACUUCUCUGCUGAGCUCAAGUUCCAUUUUUCGAACUGAUGUUGAAUAUCUCAAGCACCUCCUUUUGCUCAUCAGUGUCAAGACUGUCUCAUCUAUCCCUCAACAAAAUACUGAAUACCUCUCUCAUGGUCUUACUUUUUAAAAAUGAAAUUUAGAAAUGAUACCAUAGCUGUCCCAAACAGGUUCAAAAUGCAAGAAUUACCUAAGCUUUCCCCCACCCCCCCUCACAAUGCAUACAUUGACUCACCAAGCCCCGCUGGCUGCACCUUCUCCAUGUCUCUCACACCUGGUCUUUCCAUACCUCCCAUGCUCCCACUGUCAGUCACCACCCUACUUAGAAGACAGCACAUAACUACUUCUCUUUAAGUUGACAUACUCUUAGUGAAUUUUCCUUAAGCAGUCACUUGACCAUUAUCUGCCUGCUCAAGGACUGAUUUCUUCCCACCAGCUGGUUUGAGUGUUUAUCUAACUUGAAUCCAACCCACAAAUCGUAACUGGUGCUACUCUCUUACUGUCUCUCUUCUCUAGCCAACUGGCUUACUUAACUAUCCCUAAGAAUGUCUUGUCAAUUCCCAUCUGUUUUCUCCCUCAUGCUCUUCAUCCUGGCUCAUACACUCUUUUCUUGCUCUCCAACCCAACCAAUGUCACCUUAUUCUUCAAAACUUAACUCAAAUACUAACUUGUUCACAAAGUUUUCCCAGACUAUUUAAUAGAAAUAAUACUUGAGAAACAGUAUUUUUCUUGAUUUUUUUUAUCAGAGUACUAUAUACAU